AAUGAGUGGUUGAAGCCAUAAUAAAAUGUCUAGGGCGUGGGCAGGCACUGCAGGUGUAUCUGGGCAGCAGUGGUGGUGGCUGUGCUGUCCAUCGGGCGAGUGGUCUGAGAGUGUCUUUGUGCUUCCUCCUCAGGUGUCGAUUGACUGCCCGUGGUCCAUCUACUCCACGGUCAUCGCACUGACCUUCAGCGUACCCUUCAGGACCACGCACACCCUGCUGUCCUCAGGAACACGGAAAUAUGUUCAAGUUUGUGUCCAGAAUUUGUCAGAACUCGACUUUCAGCUGUCAGAUAGUUAUCUUGUAGAUACCGGUGAUAGUACCGACCUGCAACUAGUACCACUGAACACGCAGUCCCAGCAGCCCAUCUACAGCAAGCAGUCGGUGUUCUUCGUCUGGGAACUCAAGUGGACAGAAGAUCCUCCUCCUUCUCUGCACUGCCGGUUCUCUGUCGGAUUUUCCCCAGCUUGUGAGGAGCAGCUGUCUAUCUCCUUAAAGCCGUAUGCUUAUGAAUUUAAAGUGGAAAACUUUUUUACAUUAUACAACGUGAAGGCUGAGAUCUUUCCCCCUUCGGGAAUGGAGUAUUGCAGAACAGGCUCCCUCUGCUCCCUG
rnacentral:sRNA from 1 species